UACGGAGGGGGCUAGCGUUGUUCGGAAUUACUGGGCGUAAAGGGUUCGUAGGUGGCCUGCUAAGUCAGACGUGAAAUCCCUCGGCUCAACCGGGGAACUGCGUCUGAGACUGGCGGGCUCGAGGACAGGAGAGGAACGCGGAAUUCCAGGUGUAGCGGUGAAAUGCGUAGAUAUCUGGAGGAACACCGGUGGCGAAGGCGGCGUGCUGGACUGUUUCUGACACUGAGGAGCGAAAGCCAGGGGAGCAAACGGG
rnacentral:rRNA from 1 species